rnacentral:rRNA from 1 species
GACAGAGGUGCCAAGCGUUAGGCGGAAUCACUGGGCUUAAAGCGUGUGUAGGCGGAUCGUUAAGUACCUUGUGAAAUCCCACGGCUCAACCGUGGAACUGCUGGGUAUACUGGCGAUCUUGAGCCACCUAGGGGCGAGCGGAACAAGCGGUGGAGCGGUGAAAUGCGUAGAUAUCGCUUGGAACGCCAAUGGUGAAAACAGCUCGCUGGGGGUGUGCUGACGCUGGGACACGAAAGCCAGGGGAGCGAACGGG